rnacentral:rRNA from 1 species
AAUAGAUACCCCGGUAGUCCACGCCCUAAACGAUGCGAACUGGAUGUUGGGUUCAACUUGGAACCCAGUAUCGAAGCUAACGCGUUAAGUUCGCCGCCUGGGGAGUACGGUCGCAAGACUGAAACUCAAAGGAAUUGACGGGGGCCCGCACAAGCGGUGGAGUAUGUGGUUUAAUUCGAUGCAACGCGAAGAACCUUACCUGGUCUUGACAUCCACGGAACUUUCCAGAGAUGGAUUGGUGCCUUCGGGAACCGUGAGACAGGUGCUGCAUGGCUGUCGUCAGCUCGUGUCGUGAGAUGUUGGGUUAAGUCCCGCAACGAGCGCAACCCUUGUCCUUAGUUGCCAGCACGUAAUGGUGGGAACUCUAAGGAGACCGCCGGUGACAAACCGGAGGAAGGUGGGAUGACGUCAAGUCAUCAUGGCCCUUACGACCAGGGCUACACACGUACUACAAUGGGAAGGACAGAGGGCUGCAAUCCCGGCGAGGGUGAGCCAAUCCCAGAAACCUUCUCUCAGUCCGGAUCGGAGUCUGCAACUCGACU